rnacentral:rRNA from 11 species
CCUGGGUAGCCUAAUAACCUAAAAGUGCCAGAUCCCAUCUGAUCUUUGAAGCUAAACUGGAUCAGCUCUGGUUAGUAAUUGAACAGGAGAUAACUAAUGAAUACCACGUACUGUAGGC